UGAUGUAUUCAAAAUAUUUAAAGGAGCUGUAUGUAAGAAAUCUAUUUCAAUUAAUCAUAAAAUGGCCCUGAUGUGUCACUAGACAUUAAGAAAUCAUGUUCAUUUCAAAUACUUAUAUCACUGAAAAAAGUAGUUUGGCCAGGAUAUUGUCAUUUAAAAAGUGGACUUGCAGCCCUCAACUGAUGUUGAUGUUGUCAUUUUGUGUUUUGGCCUGACGCGCCUCCCUCCACCUAUCUACCAAUCACGAAGUCAGUAGUGUUUCGGGAUCCGUGUUGCCAGCUUUGCUGUAACCUACCCUAACUCCAGUCGGAUAAAAAUGUCUAAUGUUACUAAAUCAAAAAGACCUCGUUAUAAUUCAGAAAUUCGACAAAGUCCGAAAUAAAACCAGAAUUUGUAUUGGAGAUGCUUUUGAAAGAUGGAGACGGCUGAAAACGGAGAAGAAUUUGAACACAGACGCCAACGUUGCUAAUUUUCUCCUGGACAGGUCCUGCAAUAAAAUAAAGAUGAGUGACAGGUGCACUAACACCUCACAGCACCAGUAACUCCACAACCCUACCUAGUGCAGUUUUCCUCAGUGUUAGCAAUGUCUGAAGCCAAAGAAGACAUCAGCAGCUGCUCAAAGAUCUCACCUUUGAAGAAGACUGUUGAUUUUAUACUCAAAAAAUGUAAGUAAAAUCCAGGGGCGGAGCCAGAGGGGUGGCUUGGGGUGGCCCACGCCACCCCUGAGAUUCGAUUGGCCACCCCAGGUGCCACCCCAAAAUCCUACUCUACGAUUGGCCAUUAACGUGGUCAAAGGCGGAACCUUUGUUGACGCACUUUGCUGCCUUUAAAUCAGCGCGGGAGCUUGGACAGUCAGACACCAGAACUCAGAAAUCUUUAUUCUGAUGAAGCAGCUGAUGAACACCUUCAUCCAUCAUGUCCCUCACUGCUGGGGACAUCGUUGAUCCAGAGGAUGAGGAAGACCAUGAUGAUGAUCCUCUGAACCCCACAAGCUUGAAGCAGGAGUGGGA